AUGCCUGUGACAGUCGUAACAUGCCUGUGACGGUCGUCACACUCACGGGGUCAAAAUUCUUGGGGUUUUCAGUUUUGUGACUACCCAAGAGUUGUGUUGAUGCAAAACAAUAUCCAUUUCAAAUUCUUGGGAUUUUCAGUUUUGUGACUACGCAAGAGUUGAGUUGAGUUGUGUUGACCGGGUAGCGGAACCCCCGGCUAACUCUACGUAGUAUGAUCGGUCGCCGAAAUUUAAUUUGGUUUUAAGUAAUUAAAGGAAUUAAAAUUAAU
rnacentral:lncRNA from 1 species